UUCCAGGUGGUCUAGUGGUUAGGAUACCUAACUUUCACUUAGGUGGCCCUCGUUCGAUUCCGGGCGUGGGAA